UACGGAGGGUGCAAGCGUUGUCCGGAAUCACUGGGCGUAAAGGGCGCGUAGGCGGCCCGGUAAGUAGGGGGUGAAAUCCUGCGGCUUAACCGCAGGGCUGCCUUCUAAACUGUCGGGCUCGAGCACGGUAGAGGCAGAUGGAAUUCCCGGUGUAGCGGUGGAAUGCGUAGAUAUUCGCAAGAACACCAGUGGCGAAGGCGGCUCACUGGCCCGAUACUGACGCUGAGGCACGAAAGCGUGGGGAGCAAACAGG
rnacentral:rRNA from 1 species